UGUUUAUCAAAAACAUAGCUUNAAGAAAAUAUUUUAAGUUUUACCUGCUCAGUGAUAUUUAACAGCUGCUAAUCACAUUAGUACUAAGGUAGCAUAAUCAUUUGUCUCUUAAUUGGAGACGAGUAUGAAUGGUGUUUUGGGGAGAAGCUGUCUAAUUUAAAAUAUCUAAAAGUUAACUUUUAGGUGAAAAGUCCUAAUAAUAAUUAAGGAGCGAGAAGACCCUGGGACCUUUAAUAUUUUUAGUUGGGGCAACUAAGGUGCACACCUUGAUGCGUAAUUUUUUAAGAACGGAUAAGGUACCCCAGGGAUAACAGUAUAAUAAAGUAAAUUUGUUUGUAACCUCGAUGUUGGACUAGGAACUUUCUCAACUAGAAGUUGAGUGAGUAAGCUCUGUUCGAGCUAUUUCUCCUACGUGAUCUGAGUUCAGACCG
rnacentral:rRNA from 1 species